UAUUUCUGCCUCUUAAUGCACUAUUCGCGUAAAAGAAGAUGUGGGUAUUGUAUUUAUAGAACAGAUUUAUUAUUAGUUGGCUAGUGUGUUAGUAGGAUAGCCAUUGGUAGUUAUAAAGUAUGAAGUCGUCAGGUAUUAAUAAUAGGAAUUGAUCAAAGCUUAUACAUUUAUUGUGAAUUUAAGUAGUUAGAGUUUUGGUUGUUUAAUAGACGAAUUAAUGUGCUUAUUGUGUAUCUAAUUAAAAGAACAAUGAAAAGUUGAAUACCAUAGGGGUACGUAUGUUAUACAAAGAAUUUGCAUCAACAUUUUUUUGGUUAUAUACUUGUACUGAUGACAAAUAGCAAGAAAAUUAUACAAGUAAAACAUAUUUUUAACUUAUUUCUCUAAUGGGAUUUUGGUAUUGAUCUACUUAGUAGGAUAUGCAGUUAUCAAUCAUAUUUUUGAAUAUUUAUAUUCAAUAUUGUUCAGGAACAGCCCAAUUACUCUGAAAAAAA